rnacentral:misc_RNA from 1 species
UGGUUCUGGCAUCGAUGAAGAACGCAGCGAAAUGCGAUAAGUAGUGUGAAUUGCAGAAUUCAGUGAAUCAUCGAAUCUUUGAACGCACAUUGCGCCCUUUGGUAUUCCUUAGGGCAUGCCUGUUCGAGCGUCAUUUCCACCUUCAAGCUCAGCUUGGUGUUGGGUGAUUGUCCCGCCGCUCGCGCGCGGACUCGCCUCAAAAGCAUUGGCAGCCGGUACGUUGGCUUCGAGCGCAGCAGAUUAGCGUCUCGUGCCUGGCGGAUCGGCUCUCCAACAAGCCAAACCCCCCCAAUUUUGACCUCGGAUCAGGUAGGGAUACCCGCUGA